UACGGAGGAUCCGAGCGUUAUCCGGAUUUAUUGGGUUUAAAGGGAGCGUAGGUGGAUUGUUAAGUCAGUUGUGAAAGUUUGCGGCUCAACCGUAAAAUUGCAGUUGAAACUGGCAGUCUUGAGUACAGUAGAGGUGGGCGGAAUUCGUGGUGUAGCGGUGAAAUGCAUAGAUAUCACGCAGAACUCCGAUUGCGAAGGCAGCAUGCCGGCUCCACACUGACGCUCAGUCCCGAAAGCGUGGGGAGCAAAUAGG
rnacentral:rRNA from 1 species